rnacentral:SRP_RNA from 1 species
GGGUCGGGCCUUUGCGACGCUGGACCGUGAAUCUGGUCAGAUCCGGAAGGAAGCAGCCAUAAGCGACCAUCCGGCGGGCGUGGAGAUCACCUGGCCCUCU